rnacentral:tRNA from 1 species
GCCCAGCUAGCUCAGUUGGUAGAACAUGGGAUUCUUAAUCCCAGGGUCGUGGAUUCAUGCCCCAUGUUGGGUG